UACGGAGGGUGCAAGCGUUAUUCGGAAUCACUGGGCGUAAAGGACGCGUAGGCGGGUUGCCAAGUCUGAUGUGAAAUCCUACAGCUUAACUGUAGAACUGCAUUGGAAACUGGUAACCUAGAGUAUGGGAGGGGGAGAUGGAAUUAGUGGUGUAGGGGUAAAAUCCGUAGAUAUCACUAGGAAUACCGAAAGCGAAGGCG
rnacentral:rRNA from 1 species